GGGGAAUAUUGCACAAUGGGGGAAACCCUGAUGCAGCAACGCCGCGUGAGCGACGAAGGCCUUCGGGUUGUAAAGCUCUGUCUUCGCUGAAGAAACCUGACGGUAAGCGAGGAGGAAGCCACGGCUAACUACGUGCCAGCAGCCGCGGUAAUACGUAGGUGGCGAGCGUUGUCCGGAAUUAUUGGGCGUAAAGGAUGCGUAGGUGGUAGUUUAAGUGGGAUGUGAAAUCCCUGGGCUUAACCCAGGAACUGCAUUCCAAACUGGACUACUAGAGUGCAGGAGAGGAAAGUGGAAUUCCUAGUGUAGCGGUGAAAUGCGUAGAGAUUAGGAGGAACACCAGUGGCGAAGGCGACUUUCUGGACUGUAACUGACACUGAGGCAUGAAAGCGUGGGGAGCAAAC
rnacentral:rRNA from 1 species